UACGUAGGGCGCAAGCGUUAUCCGGAAUUAUUGGGCGUAAAGAGCUCGUAGGCGGUUUGUCGCGUCUGCCGUGAAAGUCCGGGGCUCAACUCCGGAUCUGCGGUGGGUACGGGCAGACUAGAGUGCAGUAGGGGAGACUGGAAUUCCUGGUGUAGCGGUGAAAUGCGCAGAUAUCAGGAGGAACACCGGUGGCGAAGGCGGAUCUCUGGGCCAUUACUGACGCUGAGGAGCGAAAGCGUGGGGAGCGAACAGG
rnacentral:rRNA from 1 species